GGCUGAAGGUGCUGGAGGCAGAGGAUAAGAAGGGAGGUGGCCCCUGUUGGCUCCGAUAAGCAGCUUGGACACCAGCCCUGAAGCAGGGAAAAGACAGAUGUACUAAUUGUCAUGGAUGGCAAACUGUGCCCCCAAACUUGUACCAAGCCUCAAAGCCUUGGUUUAAUACUCCUGAAGGAGUAAUAGACCCAAUGUGACAUUUUGCAUGCAGGAACCCCUUAACAGCUACCUCCAUAUUAUGCGUGCUUCAUGAAUGGAGACACCUACGUUAUAUGAAGUUCUCUAUUGGGCUGUAAACUUCCUGAGACAGGCCUUCUGGGAAAUUACUCUCUACAUCCCAGGACUGCAAUGUCCAGUGCAGACCCGUGCAUUUAGAUGUUUCCAAAAUAGCAGUUGUUUCCGCGGCAUUAUGUUCUGCUGGCCUAGAGGUCUUAGUUCCAGAGGGAGGAAUGCUGCCACCAAGAGACACAACAAUGAUUCCAUUAAACUGGAAGUUAAGAUUGCCACCUGGCCACUUUGGGCUCUUCUUACUUUUAAGCCAACUUGCUAAGAAGGGAGUUACAGUGUUUGACCCAGACUAUCAAGAUGAAAUCAGUCUACUACUCCACAAUGGCGGUAAGGAAGUAUGCGUGGAAUACAGGAGAUCACGUAGGGCGUCUCUUAAUAUUACCAUGCCCUGUGAUUAAGGUCAAUGGGAAACUGCAACAGCCCAAUCCAGGCAGGAUGACAAAUGGCCCAGACCCUUCAGGAAUGAAGGUUUGGGUCACUCCACCAGGUAAAAAAAACAUAAUCUGCUGAGGUGCUUGCUGAAGGCAAACGGAAUUCAGAAUGGGUAGUCAAAGAAGGUAGUCAUCAAUACGAACUAUGACCAUGUGACCAGCUGCAGAAAAUGAGGACUGUAAUUGUCAUGAGUAUUUCCUCCUCCUUUUGUUAGGAACAUGUUUGUGCAUAUAUACACUUGUAUUAAGAAAAUAUCUUCAUUUUAUUUCCUUUCUUUUGCCUUUAUCAUGUGACAUAAGACUUACUGACUUGAUAUCAGCACUUAAGUGUUGUUAACUCUAUGUAAUAGCAUUUGGGUUGGGGAUUGGUGCGUUUCCGGUUGUACAAAGGAUAGCUGUAUUAUGUUAAGCGUAAUUAUGACCUUAUUAUUGUCUUUAUUUGAAGAUCAUGUAUGAUUUCAGGAGACGUGUAUGGGUUCAAGUUGACAAGGGGUGGACUGGUGAUGGUUAAUAUUGUCAACUAGAUUGGAUUGAAAGAUGCAAAGUAUUGUUCCUGGGUGUGUCUGUGAGGGUAUUGCCAAAGGCGAUUAACAUUUGAGUCAAUGGACUAGGAAAGGCAGACCCACCUCAAUCUGGAUGGGCACAAUGUAAUCAACUGUCAGCUAGGCCAGAAUAAAAGCAGACAGAAGAACGUGGAAAGACCAGACUGGUUUAGCCUCUGAGCCUACGUCUUUCUCCCAUGCUGGACGCUUCCUGCCCUCGAAUAUUGAACUCCAAGGUCUUCAACUUUGGGAUUCGGACUGGCUUCCUUGCCCCUCAGCUUGCAGGCAGCCUACUGUGGGACCUCAUCUGGUGAUCAUCUGAGUCAAUAUUCCGUAAUAACUCUGAUUUAUAUAUACAUCUAUCCUAUUAGUUCUAUCCCGCUAGAGAACUCUGAUUAAUAGAGCAGUUGAGUUGCAUCUUCAGACAUGAACCAAGUGUCUGGCUUUGGUCUCAAAGAGACUGAAUUAGACUCUUAGCUCUGCCAAUUACUUGGCAGGAACCACUAGGCAAAUUACUGAUAAUCUUUGUGCCUUAGUCUUACUCUUCUGCUAAAUGAAGCUAAUAAUAUUUAUUAUUAUUAGCUCAUGGAGAUGCAGAAUAAAGUGAGAUAACAUUUAAAUGCCUGAAAAAUGCCUGGCACAUGAUAGGCAGUAAACAGUAGUGUCAUUUCAAAACAACAUUCUCGCCAGGUGCGGUGGUUCACGCCUGUAAUCCCAGCACUUUGGGAGGC
ensembl:lncRNA MIR130AHG MIR130A host gene